rnacentral:lncRNA from 1 species
UAUAGUUUGUUGUUGAUUCAAGCAUGCCACGUAUAAGCAAUGUUCAUCCAAAAGGUCAAGAAUGUUCAUUCUUACAUGAAGUAAAAGUUAGAAUACAAAUAAAAAAUUGUUACAGAAGCUGGUAAAAUCUUGUAAUCAAAACACUAUCCAUUAUAAUAAGGAUUCACUACAAGAAUGGGGAUUGUAUUAAAAAGUGAGCUUCUUCAAAGGACUUCAUCAUAUUCAAAGGUUUGCAUCAUUGUCUUCAUCAAUCAUAUUUUAAAGAAGUGGCCAUCAUGUGUGUACCAUAUGUAGCAUUGCCUAAGCCAAAUUCCAUCCUCCAGGGACACAAAUGUAUUCCAAUCAUUAACUGCAAACAAUUCCAAGCAACGCAUUUUAGCAUCAGCAUUUCAAGUUCAAAAGCAUAUUCAUACACAAAAAUUCCGCCCAAGGAUUAACAAGCCUAAAUCUCAUCUAAAUCUCAGCCCAUUCACACAGUUGCACAAAUUAAACAAAUUCAAGUGGCAGUCCAACAAAUUUCAGCAAGACAAGGUCAUAACAGCAUGACUAAUCACAAGUUCAGCAGCAAGUUUCUAACAAGUUCAACAUCAUUAUGACAAGUCUCUAACAAUCACAAUAAGGGAAAAUCUCAGUGCAACGUUCAAAUUUUCACAAGCGAAAUUCAAAUAAAAACAAGCAGUGCAUUUCAAGUUUCUUUCCUCAAUCAAAACUCAGCAUCCCAAUUCAAAAUGCCAGCUCAGCUUAUGUGAAUUCAAAUAGAAUUUCAUAACAGAAUUUCACUAAUUUCAAUCCUUAAUCUACCCUUUCAUCACUCAAUAAAUCAUGGACAUCCCUCACAAUUUGGGCUAUGGGAUUCAUUCAUCAUACUCUUUUGCUUCAACCACAAAAAAGAUUACAAAUCACAAUUCUCCAAAAUCACCUUUUUGAUUCAAAUACUCUCCCUCUCAAUUCAUUCAAUUCACAAUCACCCUCACAAAUUUCUCUCUAGACUCUCUAGAUCCUCCUUCUCUCUGAAUCCUCACCUUCACAAUUCCAUCUGCAGAAUUUGACAAUAACACAAGUAAAAUCCAAGCUCUGAACAACAACAACACAAAUUCAGGAGAGAGAAUUCAACAAUUUAGAAGCUCUGCUUCAACACGUUGCACCAACACAAACGCAGAGCACGCAUCAAAUCGACUAUUCAUCACGACUCAGCGAAAAACUCAGAACAGAAGGAAGAAAUCGCAACAUAAGAGCUCCUCAACAAUCACUCAAAACCUCACCCGAUUCUCAAACGAUUCACUCGAAUAAAUCACGCAUCAACAAUCAUUCAUCGCUCAUGCAAUUUCGCAUCAUUCACGCAACUUUGCUGCAGUUUGAGUCAAACAGAGGAAGAAGAAAAGAGAGAAAUUUGGAGAAAUCGAUAC